AAUUGAUGAAAAUCAGCAGUUGUUGGAGUAUGCAAUACCAGCAUCACAAAUUCAAAGCGCUACUGGUUGUGAAACGGAAUCACAAAAGUGUCUGAGACCCGUCGGAAGAAAACGAGAGGUUCAUGAACAAUUUCAGACCCAGAAUUUGGGCAGAGGUUGGAGUUGCCAUUGAAGACACUGGAAUUAAGAUAAGCCUGUAACAAUAAUCCCACACAGCUCUCCAGUGAAGGAAAAUAAUCAGCAACCACCCCACUGACGAGACCGCUGCUCAGUGAGCAUCCAGAGCACCGAAACAGUUGAGCCGGUAGAUUUACCUAGAACUGAAACCUCGCUCAGCUUUCCUCCCAAGAGGAGACACGUCCUUCGUAUAGGUUUGUCGGCGGUAACGAAGGAGCCGAGAGGCUACACGUGGGAUGAAUCACAGCUGACCUGAGUUUGCUCAUUAACCUUAUCCCACGAGGAACUACUAAUACCUUCGCGGGGAGAAGCCAUUCUCGGUUGGGAAGUCAGAAGAGAGCAACUUUCUUUCUCCUCUAAGCAGAGAAUAGGGAGCUCCCAGCAGAGCGUGUGGAGAGAUCAGAGGCUGUCGGAAUGCCCGGAGAGAGGCUGUCCAUCCUGGCCAAACUGCCUGAUCGCUGGAAUCCGUAGAGCAAAAUGCCGUGCUGACUCCCAAAGGUUUCCGUGACCUCCGUCAUCCUUGGCAGCCAUUCUUCAAGCGUCUUUUGGGACCAUCACUGAUGACAAGAUACUUGACUGGAUCCACCACUGGGCUGAUCCCUUGCUGGCCAGGAGUCCGCUCGGAGGCAGGAUGACGGUUCUUCCUGUGUUCGGAAAUACUUCCACAAAGAGUCACGCGAAGAAGUCGCUCCGAAGAGACCAAGUGCUGUAGUAGGAUGAGGAAAUGUGGAAAGGCGAAUCGACUAGAUAAGCACGGGUGGGCCAAGGUCCGGCCCACCCCCGAUGUUUCUGGAAGAACCGGGACCAGGGGAUUUAGCGUCCGACCACCCUGAACUCAGCGGUCACUUGAGGGAUCGUCUUCCUCGGCCCGCCCCGGACACCACAGUCGCACGGACGAUUCCGUCCUAAAACGGGCGUCUCCGAGAAGGCGUCGAGUCAUCGGGGGCUCGGUCGAAGACACCUCGGGGGGACAUCGCAAGAGCGCGAGGCCGGAGACCGAAGGGUAAAAAGAGAUACCGGGGAAAUGAGAAAGCUGGAUUCUGCGGAUAAAGUACUCGCCGGCAGACCGAGCCCCCGGAGCCAAUUCGAUACGGACGAGAGGCGUCCGAACUGUCCUCGGAGAGCUUCCAUUUAGCGGAGGGAGAACGGGCUGCGCCGCUUAUCCGCUGUGUGGCUUUGGGCAGGUCACUCGCCUUCUCCGUCCCUCAGAUACCAAAUUGGUAAAAUGAGAAUUAAAUCCUCCUCCCUCUGACAGACUGGGAGCCCCUUCGGGACAGGGACUGUGUCCAACCUGAUUAGUGAGC